GACGUAGGGCGCGAGCGUUGUCCGGAUUUAUUGGGCGUAAAGAGCUCGUAGGCGGCUUGUCGCGUCGACUGUGAAAUCCCGCGGCUCAACUGCGGGCCUGCAGUCGAUACGGGCAGGCUAGAGUUCGGUAGGGGAGACUGGAAUUCCUGGUGUAGCGGUGAAAUGCGCAGAUAUCAGGAGGAACACCGGUGGCGAAGGCGGUUCUCUGGGAAUAUCCUGACGCUGAGGAGCGAAAGUGUGGGGAGCGAACAGG
rnacentral:rRNA from 1 species